GACGUAGGGCGCGAGCGUUGUCCGGAUUUAUUGGGCGUAAAGAGCUCGUAGGCGGCUUGUUGCGUCAGCUGUGAAAACCCGCAGCUCAACUGUGGGCUUGCAGCUGAUACGGGCAGGCUUGAGUUCGGUAGGGGAGACUGGAAUUCCCGGUGUAGCGGUGAAAUGCGCAGAUAUCGGGAGGAACACCGGUGGCGAAAGCGACUCUCUGGACGGCAACUGACGCUGAGGCACGAAAGCGUGGGGAGCAAACAGG
rnacentral:rRNA from 1 species